UACGUAGGCAGCAAGCGUUGUUCGGAGUUACUGGGCGUAAAGGGUGCGUAGGCGGCUUUUUUAAGUUUGGUGUGAAAUCUCCCGGCUCAACUGGGAGGGUGCGCCGAAUACUGAGAGGCUAGAGUGUGGGAGAGGAAAGUGGAAUUCCUGGUGUAGCGGUGAAAUGCGUAGAUAUCAGGAGGAACACCGGUGGUGUAAACGGCUUUCUGGACCAUAACUGACGCUGAUGCACGAAAGCGUGGGUAGCAAACAGG
rnacentral:rRNA from 1 species